rnacentral:rRNA from 1 species
UCCGGGGGGGAGUAUGGUCGCAAGGCCGAAACUUAAAGGAAUUGACGGAAGGGCACCACCAGGAGUGGAAUCUGCGGCUUAAUUUGACCCAACGCGGGAAAAACUCACCAGGUCAGGACACGGUAAGGAUUGACGGACUGAAGGCUCUUUCUCGAUUCCGUGGAAAGUGGUGCAUGGCCGUUUUUGGUGGUGGAUCGAUCCGUCUGGUUAAUUCCGUUAACGAACGAGACCUCGGCACUCCGAAUAGCGCGGCGGACGUCGCGGCCUCCGGGGCCGUCUUCCGCACGAGCUUCUUAGAGGGACCGUCCCCCGCCGGGGAAGGAGGUGCGAGGCAACGACAGGUCUGUGAUGCCCUUAGAUGUUCUGGGCCGCACGCGCAUUACACUGACGCGUCCAACGGGUGACUCCCGACCGAGGGCCGGGGAAUCCGCAAGGCGCGUCGUGAUGGGGA